AAGAAAGCGAUCUGAUGUUCUUCAAGCCUCCAUAACCUUCCACAGAAAGGAGGGAAGCGUGAGCUCUGUGCAGCUAAGAAUCCGGCUUUUAAUUAUAUCUUUCUUGUGUUUACAUGAACUUUAGUUUGCAUUUCAGAAGCCUUAUGGAAAGAUUCCUGCGGCGGACCCUGGAGUAGUGGCGAAUUUCUCCAUCAAGAUGAAGGACGUGUGUCUCUCCUGGAGUGACUCAGCAAAGCCAACUGCCGCAGAAUCCUCAGGAAGUGCCUACUGGGUUAAAAGAAACCUCAUAGCUGCUCUGUGCUGCCUUUAUUACUGGUUAUGGACCACCUUCGUGGAGCGACUCGAGGUCUCCACAGGAAAGAUUGGUGUUUGGCUUCCUGGAAAGAAAAAAAAAAAAGAC